rnacentral:rRNA from 1 species
GACGAACGCUGGCGGCGUGCUUAACACAUGCAAGUCGAACGAUGAAGAAAAGAAUCGAAGCUUCGGCAGAAAUUCAUUUCGGAUUAGUGGCAGACGGGUGAGUAACGCGUGAGCAACCUACCUCUUACAAAGGGAUAGCCUCGGGAAACCGGGAUUAAUACCAUAUAACAUUGCGACGAAGCAUUUCGAUGCAAUCAAAGCUACGGCGGUAAGAGAUGGGCUCGCGUCCCAUUAACCGGAUGGUGAGGUAACGGCUCACCAUAGUGACGAUGGGUAACCGGCCUGAGAGGGCGAACGGUCACACUGGAACUGAGACACGGUCCAGACUCCUACGGGAGGCAGCAGUGGGGAAUAUUGCACAAUGGAGGGAACUCUGAUGCAGCGACGCCGCGUGAGUGAUGAAGGAAUUCGUUUCGUAAAACUCUGUUCUAUGGGAAGAAAAGGACUGUACCAUAGGAGAAAGCUCCGGCUAAAUACGUG